rnacentral:rRNA from 1 species
CCUACGGGGGGCAGCAGUAGGGAAUAUUGCUCAAUGGGGGAAACCCUGAAGCAGCAACGCCGCGUGGAGGAUGAAGGUCUUCGGAUCGUAAACCUCUGUCAGCAGGGAAGAACGGUCACUGUGCUAAUCAGCAGUGAAUUGACGGUACCUGCAAAGGCAGCACCGGCUAACUCCGUGCCAGCAGCCGCGGUAAUACGGAGGGUGCGAGCGUUAAUCGGAAUUACUGGGCGUAAAGCGCUCGUAGGCGGUAUGUCAAGUCAAGGGUGAAAUCCCCGCGCUCAACGUGGGAACUGCCUUUGAAACUGGCAAACUGGAGUGUGUGAGAGGAUAGUGGAAUUCCAGGUGUAGGAGUGAAAUCCGUAGAUAUCUGGAGGAACAUCAGUGGCGAAGGCGACUAUCUGGCACAUAACUGACGCUGAGGAGCGAAAGCGUGGGUAGCAAACAGGAUUAGAUACCCUUGUAGUC